rnacentral:rRNA from 1 species
CCUACGGGAGGCUGCAGUGGGGAAUAUUGGACAAUGGGGGCAACCCUGAUCCAGCCAUGCCGCGUGUGUGAAGAAGGCCCUCGGGUUGUAAAGCACUUUCAGUGAGGAAGAACGCCUGGUGGUUAAUACCCAUCAGGAAAGACAUCACUCACAGAAGAAGCACCGUCUAACUCCGUGCCAGCAGCCGCGGUAAUACGGAGGGUGCGAGCGUUAAUCGGAAUUACUGGGCGUAAAGCGCGCGUAGGUGGCUUGAUAAGCCGGUUGUGAAAGCCCCGGGCUCAACCUGGGAACGGCAUCCGGAACUGUCAAGCUAGAGUGCAGGAGAGGAAGGUAGAAUUCCCGGUGUAGCGGUGAAAUGCGUAGAGAUCGGGAGGAAUACCAGUGGCGAAGGCGGCCUUCUGGACUGACACUGACACUGAGGUGCGAAAGCGUGGGUAGCAAACAGGAUUAGAUACCCUUGUAGUC